AACAAACGCUGGCGGCGUGCCUAACACAUGCAAGUCGUGCGAGAAAGUCCCCUUCGGGGGGCGAGUAAAGCGGCGAAAGGGUGAGUAACACGUGGGUAAUCUGCCCUCGGGACUGGGAUAACUUGCCGAAAGGCGGGCUAAUACCAGAUAAGACCACGCGGACUAAUGUUCGUGCGGUAAAAGAUGGCCUCUCGACGAAGCUAUCACCUGAGGAUGAGCCCGCGUCCUAUUAGCUAGUUGGUAGGGUAACGGCCUACCAAGGCUCUGAUGGGUAGCCGGCCUGAGAGGGUGUACGGCCACACUGGAACUGAGACACGGUCCAGACUCCUACGGGAGGCAG
rnacentral:rRNA from 1 species